rnacentral:ncRNA from 1 species
UAAGAUGAGUUCAGGGAAGACAGACUCCUCCUGUGGAAUAGAAGGCUCAAAGCUCACUUGACCUUGAUUUUCAGUAUGUGUAGAGACCAUGAAAGUGG